rnacentral:rRNA from 1 species
GAUGAACGCUGGCGGCGUGCCUAAUACAUGCCAGUCGAGCGAACGGACGAGAAGCUUGCUUCUCUGAUGUUAGCGGCGGACGGGUGAGUAACACGUGGAUAACCUACCUAUAAGACUGGGAUAACUUCGGGAAACCGGAGCUAAUACCGGAUAAUAUUUUGAACCGCAUGGUUCAAAAGUGAAAGACGGUCUUGCUGUCACUUAUAGAUGGAUCCGCGCUGCAUUAGCUAGUUGGUAAGGUAACGGCUUACCAAGGCAACGAUGCAUAGCCGACCUGAGAGGGUGAUCGGCCACACUGGAACUGAGACACGGUCCAGACUCCUACGGGAGGCAGCAGUAGGGAAUCUUCCGCAAUGGGCGAAAGCCUGACGGAGCAACGCCGCGUGAGUGAUGAAGGUCUUCGGAUCGUAAAACUCUGUUAUUAGGGAAGAACAGAUGUAUAAGUAACUGUGCACAUCUUGACGGUACCUAAUCAGAAAGCCACGGCUAACUACGUG